CCGCGUUUAGAAGACAAUUUUAAAAUCAAAUUCAAAACAUGGAAACAGCCAUCGUCUCUCUUUAACAACUUUCUUGUAAGAAAAGGAUAGCCUACCCUUUGCUGCCUUACACAAUUCUCUCUUUCUCUCUGCUAAAUAUAUAUAAAAUAAAUAUCCCUUUGUUUUUAUCCAAAUCCAUUUUCUCUCACACAUCUCUGCCUCUCUGUUUGAUACACGAAAUCCAUUCAUUUACACCACAGGCACACACACAUAUAUUCUUUUUAUAAAUCCCAAUUCCAUUGAUAACGAAAACAGUAAUCGGAAGAAACAAAGAAAAGAAAAAAAAAAAAAAAAAAGAGAGAGGAAAAGGAGGGCCUUUUCAGCCCUCUCUUCUUGUUAUGCUUCCUCUCAGAUCUUAGAUUCUCUUGCUUUACCUUCUGGGCCUUUUUCUUUUUCCCUCCCUGGAAUCCUGGAUUGUUGGCCGAUUCAUAGUCGAUCCGUAAUUGGUUUUACGUUUUCCGAUUGAAUCCAACAUUGGGUCGUUUUAUAUUGAUAUAAACAACGAAGCUUUGCUUGAUUCCUGACAAGAAUGGAAAUGGAGCUUGGCAAACUAUUUAUCGGCGGGAUUUCUUGGGGCACAAAUGAGGACCGUCUUAGAGAGUAUUUUCAAACUUUUGGGGAAGUUGUGGAAGCUGUGAUAAUGAAGGAUCGGGCUACCGGCCGUGCCCGUGGAUUCGGGUUUGUCGUUUUUGCUGAUCCGGCUGUUGCAGAAAGGGUUGUGAUGAAAGAGCAUAUGAUAGACGGUAGAACUGUUGAGGCAAAGAAGGCAGUUCCUAGGGAUGACCAGAACAUGUUGAGCAAAAAUAAUAUUAGCACACUUGGAUCACCUGGUCCUUCUCGCACAAAAAAGAUAUUUGUAGGAGGCUUGGCAUCCACAGUCACUGAGAGUGACUUUAAGAGGUACUUUGAUCAGUUCGGUACAAUUACAGAUGUUGUUGUGAUGUAUGAUCACAACACUCAGAGGCCACGAGGUUUUGGAUUCAUAACUUAUGAUUCAGAGGAAGCUGUGGAUAAAGUCUUGCAGAGAACAUUUCAUGAGCUCAACGGGAAAAUGGUUGAGGUCAAGCGAGCUGUCCCCAAAGAAUCAUCUUUAGGUCCUAACCGGAACCAGUUAGGUGGGUAUAACUUUGGCCUUAGUAGAGUCAAUAGCUUCCUUAACGGGUACAUGCAGGGUUAUAAUACUAAUUCAGUCGGUGGUUAUGGUGUUAGAAUGGAAGGUAGAUCUAGUCCUGGUACUAUUGGUCAUAAUGGGUUUUCUCCAUUGAGUCAUGGUUAUGGGAUGGGACUGAAUUUUGAGUCAAAUUUAAGUCCAAGCUCUGGAUGGAACUCGAACCUUGGUUCUAACCUGAGCCAUGGACGGGGAUUUAACACUUCAUUUAAUGGAAAUUCAAACAGAUUUGCAAGUCCCUUUGGGUAUGGUGUGGGCAGUGGAGGAAAUGAUUCCGUCUUAAACUCAGCUGGUCGAAAUGUGUGGGGAAAUGGAAAUCUUAACUAUGCAACUAACCCCACAAACUCUAGUGCUAUGUUGGGGCCUGGAAGCGGGAAAACAGGUGUGAGUUCUUUGGGCAGCAUUGGACCACUUUGGGAUUCCUCUCCUAAGUCAGGUCAAGGUGGAGGUGUUGCUUCUGCUUACAAUAGUAGCAAUCUUAGGUAUGGAAGUGGCGAUUUUGGUAUUGCAUCGGGAGGGAUAGGCCAUGGGAGAAGCAGUGGAACCAGUGUUGCCCAGGUAUCAUCCCAUGGUGGUUAUGACAGGGCUUAUGCUGAUAUUUAUGACAAUGGUUCAUUUUUCGAGGAUUCUACGUGGCAAUCUUCACCCUUAGACCUAGAGCAGUCUAGUUCUUUUGAUUUUGGUCUGGGAAAUACAACUUCAGAUGUUAUGUCUAAUAACUCUGCUGGUUACAUUGGCGGUUAUAACGUUACAAAUAGGCAGUCAAAUGGAGGGAUUGCCACAUAGGUUGAUGAUGAUAUGAUGUCACGAUAUAACGGUAGGAUAUUUGAACAGUGGAGCGGAUGAAUGACUGGAUUUCUACAUUGCCCCCACUGAGAUAUUUCAAUUUUAUACGAAAAUACGAGUAGAGAGCUGAUUUGGUUUACCUGUUUUGAUGAACCUGUUAUAGAGACGAGUUACAAAGAAUUCAUGUAAGGAAAACAAAUUGCAAGGCACUGCUCCUUUGCAAAAAUGAGUGCAUUUUUGUAAACACAAGUUGUCCCGAACCAAGUGCAGCCGACGAGGCAUCUUUUAUUAAAUACCAGAAUAUUGUGUGGUGGUUUUGACCUCUUAUCUUAUCCUAACAUUUCUUAACGCUUGUGCUUUGUAGUCACUUUCGUUGUAUGGGUAUAUCAUCACCUUCGACUUCCAUGAAUAGGGGAUUUUAUCACCUAUUGAGGUGGUCCUUGGCAGAUCUCUGCAUUAGUUCAUAUAAAAAGGGAACAAUUUACUUUAAGAUUAUAAGAUAAUGUAAGAAAACUACCAUUACAUAUAAUGACAGCAUCAGGCAUUAAGUAUAUAA